UUGCUUCGUCCGCCGCCUCAACAGUAACAAUAAUAAAAUAAUAAUAAAAAGAAAAGAAGAAGAAGAGAGAGAAAAUAAUUAAAAAAAAUGUGGGACCCACUGAAUUUUUAUAAAAACUCACCUGUUCCUUCAUUUCUUCAUUCCUUCUUUCGUGCGUGAGCUUCGGCAGAGAGAGCAUCUGUGAGCCAAAUUCACCGGUGCUGGGUUUUAAGGAGAAGAGCCAAGAGUGACACGUGGAGGAGUCCCAGAGGCUUAGUGGUAUAGAUCCACUGUCUCUUUUGGGUAUUUAAUUUAUGAUUUAUAAUGUAUUAUAUUGCCAAUAUUAGGGCUUUUUGUUUAUUGUCAAUUAUAUGAAUAUAUAAAUGUAAUCAUGCCUUUCAAACUA